GAUGAACGCUGGCGGCGUGCCUAAUACAUGCAAGUCGAGCGAACAGACGAGGAGCUUGCUCCUCUGACGUUAGCGGCGGACGGGUGAGUAACACGUGGAUAACCUACCUAUAAGACUGGGAUAACUUCGGGAAACCGGAGCUAAUACCGGAUAAUAUAUUGAACCGCAUGGUUCUAUAGUGAAAGACGGUUUUGCUGUCACUUAUAGAUGGAUCCGCGCCACAUUAGCUAGUUGGUAAGGUAACGGCUUACCAAGGCAACGAUGCGUAGCCGACCUGAGAGGGUGAUCGGCCACACUGGAACUGAGACACGGUCCAGACUCCUACGGGAGGCAGCAGUAGGGAAUCUUCCGCAAUGGGCGAAGGCCUGACGGAGCAACGCCGCGUGAGUGAUGAAGGUCUUCGGAUCGUAAAACUCUGUUAUUAGGGAAGAACAAAUGUGUAAGUAACUAUGCACGUCUUGACGGUACCUAAUCAGAAAGCCACGGCUAACUACGUG
rnacentral:rRNA from 1 species